ensembl:misc_RNA
UUGCAAAUUGGUGAAUUUCUUAGAGUGGAACUAACUCGAGCUCUUGGUUCUGCAGCUGGACUCACUGCCCCCGAUGGGCAGUGAGUCAGGGAGAU